UUUCUGGUACGGUCGUACCAGAAACGACGCGUGCGACGGCGGGACGGCCACCCGGUGCGCGUCC
rnacentral:ncRNA from 1 species